rnacentral:rRNA from 1 species
GCGGCGAAGGGAGAGUAACGCGUAGAUAUCUGCCUCGAGGCCCGGGAUAGCGGCGGGAAACUGCCGGUAAUACCGGAUAACAUCUCCGGAUCAAAGGUGUGAUUCCGCCUCGAGAUGAGUCUGCGUCCUAUUAAUGCUUGUUGGUGUGGUAACGGCGCACCAAGGCGAAGAUGGGUACCGGGUGUGAGAGCAUGGCCCGGCUCACUGGGACUGAGACACUGCCCAGACACCUACGGGUGGCUGCAGUCGAGAAUCUUCGGCAAUGGGCGAAAGCCUGACCGAGCGACGCCGCGUGCGGGAUGAAGGCCCUCGGGUUGUAAACCGCUGUCAGUAGGGAGCAAAUCUCUUGGGGUUAUCCCCUUGAGUUGAGCGAUCUUCACAGGAAGUACGGGCUAAGUUCGUGCCAGCAGCCGCGGUAAGACGAACCGUACGAACGUUAUUCGGAAUCACUGGGCUUAAAGAGUCCGUAGGCGGCCGUGUAGGUGGGAUGUGAAAGCCCUCGUCUCAACCGAGGAAUUGCGUUCCAAACCACAUGGCUUGAGGAGGAUAGAGGUGAGCGGAACUGAUGGUGGAGCGGUGAAAUGCGUUGAUAUCAUCAGGAACACCAGAGGCGAAGGCGGCUCACUGGGUCCUUUCUGACGCUGAGGGACGAAAGCUAGGGGAGCAAACGGGAUUAGAUACCCCGGUAGUCCUAGCUGUAAACGAUGAGCACUAGAUCGAGGGGACUUCCACAUCUUCUCGGUCGUAGCGAAAGUGUUAGUGCUCCGCCUGGGGGAGUAUGGUCGCAAGGGCUGAAAC